GACGUAGGUGGCGACCGUUAUCCGGAAUUAUUGGGCGUAAAGGGUGCGUAGGUGGCCUGGCAAGUUAUCAGUGGUAAAUCGAGGCCCAACCUCGUGGAAACUGGCAAUACUGCUUGGCUUGAGUACAGGAGAGGUUAACGGAACUCUAUGUGGAGCGGUAAAAUGCACAGAUAUAUAGAAGAACAUCAAUAACGGCGAAGGCAGUUAACUAUUCUGUUACUGACACUGAGGCACGAAAGCGUGGGGAGCGAACAGG
rnacentral:rRNA from 1 species